UACAGAGGUCCCGAGCGUUGUUCGGAUUCACUGGGCGUAAAGGGUGCGUAGGUGGCGAGACAAGUCGGAUGUGAAAUCUCCGGGCUCAACCCGGAAACGGCAUUGGAAACUGUCCUGCUAGAGGAUUUGAGGGGGGAUUGGAAUACUUGGUGUAGCAGUGAAAUGCGUAGAUAUCAAGUGGAACAUCAGUGGCGAAGGCGAAUCCCUGGAAAACACCUGACACUGAGGCACGAAAGCUAGGGGAGCAAACAGG
rnacentral:rRNA from 1 species